GCUUUGGCUCAGUGCUGGAGCAUCUGCUUUGCACGCAGAAGGUCCAAGGUUCAAGCCUUGGCAUCUCCA
rnacentral:tRNA from 1 species